rnacentral:misc_RNA from 1 species
GAUGAAGAACGCAGCGAAAUGCGAUAAGUAAUGUGAAUUGCAGAAUUCAGUGAAUCAUCGAAUCUUUGAACGCACAUUGCGCCCGCCAGUAUUCUGGCGGGCAUGCCUGUUCGAGCGUCAUUUCAACCAUCAAGCCCUGCUUGCGUUGGGGUCCUGCGGCUGCCCGCAGGCCCUGAAAACCAGUGGCGGGCUCGCUAGUCACACCGAGCGCAGUAAUACAUCUCGCUUUGGGCGUGCGGCGGGUUCUUGCCGUUAAACACCCCCUUUUUACCAAGGUUGACCUCGGAUCAGGUAGGAAUACCCGCUGAACUUAAGCAUAUCAAUAAGCGGUGGA